UACGGAGGGCGCGAGCGUUAAUCGGAAUUACUGGGCGUAAAGCGCGCGUAGGCUGUUGUGUAAGUUGGGGGUGAAAUCCCACGGCUCAACCGUGGAACAGUCCUUGAUACUGCGCGACUUGAAUCCGGGAGAGGGUGGCGGAAUUCCAGGUGUAGGAGUGAAAUCCGUAGAUAUCUGGAGGAACAUCAGUGGCGAAGGCGGCCACCUGGACCGGUAUUGACGCUGAGGCGCGAAAGCGUGGGGAGCAAACAGG
rnacentral:rRNA from 1 species